rnacentral:tRNA from 1 species
AUAGCUAACAUGGUAAAGCACUUGCCUAGCAAGCAUGAAGCCCUGAAUUCAAACUUCAGU